UAGGUUGAUUCGGUUUCACCUAUCAGCUUGCUGCGUGCCCCUUUUGUUUGGGAUCUCAUCUCGGUGUAACGCUGGAACGUUAUAUGUCCCAAGGAAACUUUGAGAUAGGCUUGUCGCCAAUUUUUGCUAGUAGAUGAGUCGUGAAUAAUUAUCAACUUCCUCUGUGCGUGUGAAGUGAUGUGGCUGGAAUUUAACGUACCCCUGUGGAUGUGUAUGGUUUUAUGCUCAAAGUCUUUGUCUCCGGUUUCCUUCUGUGCUGUUUGCUCUCUUUAGUUUGAAAUGAAACCUUGUCAUGUACCGCCAUGUUUUACAAGAAUCCUCAUGAUGAUAAAUUAGCAGCAUCUUCCAAAUAGCAU
rnacentral:lncRNA from 1 species